AACGAACGCUGGCGGCAGGCUUAACACAUGCAAGUCGAACGCAUCGCAAGAUGAGUGGCAGACGGGUGAGUAACGCGUGGGAACAUACCCUUUUCUACGGAAUAGCUCUGGGAAACUGGAAUUAAUACCGUAUACGCCCUACGGGGGAAAGAUUUAUCGGGGAAGGAUUGGCCCGCGUUGGAUUAGCUAGUUGGUGGGGUAAAGGCCUACCAAGGCGACGAUCCAUAGCUGGUCUGAGAGGAUGAUCAGCCACAUUGGGACUGAGACACGGCCCAAACUCCUACGGGAGGCAGCAGUGGGGAAUACUGGACAAUGGGCGCAAGCCUGAUCCAGCCAUGCCGCGUGAGUGAUGAAGGCCUUAGGGUUGUAAAGCUCUUUCACCGAUGAAGAUAAUGACGGUAGUCGGAGGAGAAGCCCCGGCUAACUUCGUGCCAGCAGCCGCCGUAAAAC
rnacentral:rRNA from 1 species